UUUGAUUUGAACCGACAGGCUGUCGAUCCUAUUAUCUUGUGAGACUGUAGCAGGAAACUUAAUAGCUCUGGUCUGUUGGUCUCUGGCCAGCCUGGCCGCAUGGAUGUCCUUUAUCGUACUGGUGAAACUCAGCAGGGCAUUCCUACAUACACGCCGCGUAUGGUUUCGGUAGAUCUUCAAGGAUCCCUAGGAUCAGUGGGUUCGCGGGGAUCUUUGUACAAUGAAGCCCCAGAAACGUCAACGGAUAAUAUUACAUGGACAGGUCCUGUAACAAUUCAAACAUCUCAGCCUAUAAAGAAGAAUUUGUUCUUGCAAAGUUUGCACUUGGAAGAAAAUGAAAACUUGGGUAGCUCAGGAGGUUGUGACAGCAGUGACAAUGCUUUCCAUACUGAAAUUCCUGAUAAGGACAUUGUCGAAAGUCUCGAAAAUGAAGUUCAGUAUUGGACAGAUUUCUCAAAAGUUCAUUAUCACCCUCAGAGUUUGUAUGAAUUGAGUGGGAUGUGGAUGGACCUCAAAGAAUUUAAAAAUUAUGGAAUUGGAAAAGAGGCAUUUUCAGGUGUACACACAGAAGAAAUUAAUGAGAGACUUCGCUUUUUCAUUGAAGAAAGUGACCAUCCUCAGGGAAUUCAAUUCAUUGUUGAUGAUUUUGGGGGCUUCUCUGGUUUAGCAGCGGAGUUUCUAGAGAAUAUUUCUGAUGAGUACCCAAACAUUCCAGUCCUAUUGUACUCUGUUCAUGCUCCUGACACUUGCCUAGGUUCCCAAAACCGCAAAAUGGCAAUAUCCCGUAAACUUCAUGAUGCAGUUUCAUUCGCCAAGUUGUCAUCAUUCUGUAAAAUGAUUGUUCCGAUUGGUCUGCCAUCGCCAAGUAUGAGUAAGAUGUCAAAGCACCUCCAUUUGGAAGAUAAAAAACCUUAUCACACCAGUGCAGUUUAUGCAUCUGCGAUACACUCUGUCAGUCUCCCUUUCAGAAUGGAUACACUGGGGCCUAGUGCACAGUUGAGCCACACAUGUGGUGCUUUGAGUGUCAAUGACCUCGUCCAAAUGUUAGCAGGCCGGGAUCGGCAGAACAUGGUUGUUACACUGGAUGUUGCAAUGCCGGCUCCAGCUUUGACAGCUGUCCAGGUCCAACAAUCUUUAUUAAAGCAGUUGCAGCCAAUUAGUCCUGAAAUAUCCGAUGUUGAAGACAUGCAUGCUUUGGAAUCUAUGAUCAUCCAUGGGGUCUGUGGAUCAGGAAGCAAAAGAGCCUUAGUUUCCCAAGUUCAGGAAGCUGUCCAAGCUGCUUAUUUAAGUGCAGAAGAAAGGCCCAAAUUCUCCCAUCUAUCUCUUGCUCGGUGUCCUCUUCCAAUACCAUUGCCUUUCCCUUCAAUAUUUGGGAACCAUGUUGGCCAAAAUGGUGAGCUCUUGGAUGCCCCCAUUUCCGACUCUCCAUCAAGGGGGUCACUUGAAGUCCACUCGAUCCCCAUGGCAGCAAAACUACGUUCCAGCAAUGGUUUUUUGCCGUUUCUGGAGAAUAGACUGGGAAGCCUUGGCAAGUUUGGCAUUGGACGAGGAGCACUUGGGGCAGAGUUACUGAAAAGUUGGGGAUUUGGAGAUGAGGAUGUAGAAGAUAUGGUAGAGACGCUGUCAAAUAUGGUAGCAAAGUUGAAACCAGCAUUCGAAGAAACAUCAGAUUCUGAUUGAAGAGAUUUACCUGGAGCUGGAUGUGUCAGGCUAGAUAGUAGAUAGAGCAAUCUAGCCAUGCAGGUUUGUUCUAUCUUUACAUCGCGGUGCUUCUUGUUGUAAAUAACAGGCUUACCAUUGAGAAUUUAAUGAAGGUACGCUUGUCUUGAAAUCUCUCUAGUUUUUUAACAUUAUUGCAACAUUGGAUCAAAUCUUGCGACUUACAGUAUGGAUUGCUGAUCAAAUAUGGGUUUUGGUUUAGUUCAAAGUCACUUAGGUAUUGGCCUCUUAGGAUGUGUUGGUAAAUACAGCUAGAACCCAUUAUUCUUUUGUCGGCAUAGUUUGUCUGCAAAACUUUUAACUUUUCCAACUUUUUAUUGCAGUCUAAGUCUUCCAA